rnacentral:lncRNA from 1 species
GCGCCCAGCGCCGCUCAGCCGCCCUGCGCCACCGCCUCUGCCGACGCGCAAGUCCCGGGGGCAUCGGGCCCGCAGCCGGACAAAAAGCGGGUCCCGGGUCCGCCAGCAGAACAGCCCCGGGGAUGGCGCGCAGCAAGCGCCCCCGAGGACCGCAUCCUUACAACUCCGGACCCGCGGUGCCCUUUAAACCAGGUCCAGUGGGCGCGCUGCAAGGAGAAGUCUGAGCCCCCCGGAUUGGUGGCGGCGGCGGGGGCGCAGCUUUGGGUGAGUAGGUUCAAAUGAGACCUCCGCGUCCUUAAGGCCUGGGUGAAGCUAUUGGGCAAGCGGGCACCUGCGACAGCCACCUGUGUACGCUUCUUCUCAGUUUUGGUAGGAAACAGAUCGCAUUCUGGAAAGGUGGUUGAAAAACUCUAGAGAUGACAGAAUUUUCUAUGGCUUUUAGCGACCUCACCACACCUGUUCAGGGGAAAGAAAACAACUGAAGACAGUGGAGAUUCUGCCCUCUUCUACUUUAUGAAUAACGACCUUUCAGAGUGCCCGUCGCUGAGAUCGAUGCUGAGCCGUUCUCGUGAACAAUGAAUCCAGUGAACUAGGCCAGUCAUUUCUUGCUCAAGCAUUACCUCAGCCCAGCAUGUUUUGAGUUUUUCUAGUACCUUCUCAAAGCAGUUUAUUUUAAUUCGCUUUAAUUUGUUGGAACACUUUGUCAUUUACCACCUCGGGAAGGUUUGCUCUGAAAUUAAGCAAACAGUGGUGAGUGGCCUAAAAGUAUAAGAAUCAAGAGCAGUUAUUACGUCUACUCAAAAGAGAGAGGUUGCUUGUCUUCAAUAAAAUGAAAAAAGUAAUGAACUUCUCUAAGAAGCUGAUGGCCUUUGGCUCUGUUUUAGCCCAAGUCAUCAAGGUGCAGGGCUUUGCUUGCAAUCAUCAGACUUCCACUUGCAUCUUUGAGGAAGAGGAUGAGUACUCUGCCUGCCUCUCUCCAGCUUGGACUGCUUGUCAUCAAAUUGUCCCUGGUGCCAAGAAGGAGAGGAAAGAGGAACCCUCUACCAAUAAUAAGAAACAAAAACAUAAUACGUCUACUUCACAGCCAAGAGGGAAGAGGAUGAGGUGUUUAAGGAGAAGACAGCCAACAUUCACUAAGGGACGUCAAAUGAGGGCCUCAUCAACUCCUACUGUCCCUUCCAUGAUAUGGUACCUCCCACUGAAGUUCCCCAUCUCCCCUAGCCCGUGGUGCUGUGGAUACCGAAGAUUCAAAAUUCAAAAUUUUUUUUUCAUGCAAAUAUAAACUCCAGCAUCCUAAUGAUGUCUGUUUUAAAUUAUUUAUGUACAGCUCAAACCUCCUGGGCAUCGUUUUUAAAAAAAAAAAAAAAAAUCCCACAUUGGAGUACCCGAUGUGGUUCAGGGGUAAUGAAUCCAAUGAGUAUCUAUGAGGAUGUGGAUUCCAUCCCUGGCCUCAUCCAGUGGGUUGAGGAUCCAGUGUUGCCUUGAGCUGUGGUAUAGGUCACAGACGAGGUUUGUUCUGGCAUUGCUGUGGCUGAGGUGUAGGCCAGCAGCUGCAGCUCUGAUUUGACCCCUAGCCUGGAAACCUCCAUAUGCUGCAGGUGCAGCCCCAAAAGAGACAAAAACAAAGAAACAGACAAACUAAUGACAAAAACAAAACCAAAACCCCUACAUUACUGUGAAUUAUGAGUUUUUCUCAAUGAAUGGGAAAGGAAAGGAAUGCUAUCUUCAGAAACCUGGAAGAGAGAGAAAUCUUAUUUCAAGAUGUUUCACUUCCUUUACUACAAAAUAUAUGUGUUAAAACUGUAAAAUAGACCUGAAAUAUAAAGAUCAUCAAUCACCAUGGUUGAAAACAGAAAUAACAAAUGCAUUCAUCAUUAUAAAUAUGUAUAAUAUAAUCAUAUUGAUGAUUUUAAAAUUUUAUGUGUUCAUGAUUACUGUUGAAGGCAUCCAUUUCAUUUCUUUAUUCUAACACUUUUUUUUUUUUUUUAGGCCGAACCUGAGGCACAUGGAGGUUCCCAGGCUAGGGGUCCAGUCAGAGCUACAGCUGCUGGCCUACACCAAGGACAGCCACAGCAAGGUGGGAUCCAAGUUGCCUCUUUGACCUACACCACAGCUCACAGCAAUGCUGGAUGCUUAACCCACUGAACGAGGCCAGGGAUCAAACCUUCGUCCUCAUGGAUCCUAGUCAGAUUCGUUUCUGCUGAGCCACAACCGGAACUUCCUAUUCUAACACUUUUCAAUACGAAAAGAUUGUGCUGUAUUUUUUUAUUUUUAUUUUAUUUUUUUGUCUCUCUGUCUUUCCUAGGGCCGCACCCGUGGCUAGAGGUCUAAUCAGAGCUGUAGCCACCAGCCUACUCCAGAGCCAUAGCAACACCAGAUCCGAGCCACGUCUGCGAUCUACACCAAAGCUCACGGCAACACCAGAUCCUUAACCCACUGAGCAAGGCCAGGGAUCGAACCUGCAACCUCAUGGUUCCUAGUCAGAUUCGUUAACCACUGAGCCAUGACGGGAACUCCUGUGCUGUAUUUUAAAUUAUAGAAAGUUUAGAUAGGUACAGAAACUGUCUAGAGGGAAAUAUUGACUGUUUUAAAAUUUGUUAUUGAGACUCCUUGCCUAUGUAACAUAACAAGCAGCAACCUUGAACCAUGAGCUAUGGGUUAGGUGUACACAAGGCCAUGGUGUUCGUGGAGGCAGGUGCUUCUGUGUACACUUUGGACUCCCCAAGUAGGUCAGGCUACUGCAGGGAUUGUCCUGUUUUGCAGCACAAGGGCAAUUUGGUCGAUAAGGGAGUCAAAGCCUCACCUGAUGCACUACAGUCUCUCCUGGCAAAUUCAGGUCACUGUAUUAUGAAAAUGCACUGCAGUGUCCUUUUUGGUUGGACUGUACAAAAAUUGUUGCAACCAGAUGUCUAUAACAGAGAAAAAUAGUCCAGUGGCCAGGCAACCCAGAAUUGUAAAGGGUAUUGCCCAUGUUUGUAACAUUUGUCCAGGAAUGGAUGAUGAUUUGAAAAGAUACGGAGGAA